rnacentral:snRNA from 10 species
GGAUGUGAGGGCGAUCUGGCUGCGACAUCUGUCACCCCAUUGAUCGCCAGGGUUGAUUCGGCUGAUCUGGCUGGCUAGGCGGGUGUCCCCUUCCUCCCUCACCGCUCCAUGUGCGUCCCUCCCGAAGCUGCGCGCUCGGUCUUCGGUCAAGGGUAUACGAGUAGCUGCGCUCCCCUGCUAGAACCUCCAAACAAGCUCUCAAGGUCCAUUUGUAGGAGAACGUAGGGUAGUCAAGCUUCCAAGACUCCAGACACAUCCAAAUGAGGCGCUGCAUGUGGCAGUCUGCCUUUCUUU